rnacentral:rRNA from 1 species
UACGAAGGGGGGCUAGCGUUGCUCGGAAUUACUGGGCGUAAAGCGCACGUAGGCGGCUUUCUAAGUCAGGGGUGAAAUCCCGGGGCUCAACCUCGGAACUGCCUUUGAUACUGCAAAUCUCGAGUCCGGAAGAGGUGAGUGGAAUUCCUAGUGUAGAGGUGAAAUUCGUAGAUAUUAGGAAGAACACCAGUGGCGAAGGCGGCUCACUGGUCCGGUACUGACGCUGAGGUGCGAAAGCGUGGGGAGCAAACAGGG